AUGCAAGUCGAACGGGAUCCUUCGGGAUCCAGUGGCGGAAGGGUGAGUAACACGUGAGCAACCCGCCCCCAAGGCCGGAACAAGCGCUGGAAACGGCGUCUGAAACCGGAUGAGGAUCUCCACCGCAUGGUGGGGCGUCCAAAUAUUCAUACCCUGGGGAUGGGCUCGCGGCCCAUUAGCUUGUCGGCGGGGCGACGGCCCACCGAGGCGACGACGGGUAGGUGGUCUGAGAGGAUGGUCACCCACACUGGGACUGAGACACUGCCCAGACUCCUGCGGGAGGCUGCAGUCGAGAAUCUUCCGCAAUGGGCGCAAGCCUGAACCGGAGCGAUGCCGCGUGAGGGACGGAGGCCUUCGGGUCGUGAACCUCUGUCGCCCGGGACGAUGAUGACGGCACCGGGAAAGGAAGCCACGGCUAACCACGUGCCAGCAGCCGC
rnacentral:rRNA from 1 species